UUCCGGUUGAUCCCGCCGGAGGCUACUGCUAUCGGGAUUCGAUUAAGCCAUGCGAGUCGAGAGGGUUCGGCCCUCGGCUGACUGCUCAGUAACACGUGGAUAACUUGCCCUCAGGUAGGGGAUAAUCUCGGGAAACUGAGGAUAAUACCCUAUAGACAUCCUUUGCUGGAACGCUUGGAUGUUCAAAGGUAACGCCUGAGGAUAGGUCUGCGGCCUAUCAGGUUGUAGUGGGUGUAAUGGACCCACUAGCCCGCGACGGGUACGGGCCUUGAAAGAGGUAGCCCGGAGAUGGACUCUGAGACACGAGUCCAGGCCCUACGGGGCGCAGCAGGCGCGAAAACUUCGCAAUGCGGGAAACCGUGACGAGGGAAUCCCGAGUGCUCAUACAAUGUAUGGGCUUUUCUUAUGUGUAAAUAGCAUGAGGAAUAAGGGCU
rnacentral:rRNA from 1 species